GACGAACGCUGGCGGCGUGCUUAACACAUGCAAGUCGAACGGAAAGGCCCUGCUUUUGUGUGUUUCUCGAGUGGCGAGCGCGUGAGUAACACGUGAGUAUAAUGCCCUUGUCUUUGUGAUAACUUCUGGAAACUGGGGCUAAUACAGGAUAGAAGCUCCUGCUGCGUGGGGUGGAAUGGAAAAUUACGGCGGUUGGGGAUGGACUCGCAGCUUAUCAGCUGGUUGGUGAGGUAGUGGCUGACCAAGGCUAUGACGGGUAGCCGGCCUGAGAGGGUGGCCGGCCACAUUGGGACUGAGAUACGGCCCAGACUCCUACGGGAGGCAGCAGUGGGGAAUAUUGCACAAUGGGCGGAAGCCUGAUGCAGCAACGCCGCGUGCGGGAUGACGGCCUUCGGGUUGUAAACCGCUUUCGCCUGUGACGAAGCGUGAGUGACGGUAAUGGGUAAAGAAGCACCGGCUAACUACGUG
rnacentral:rRNA from 1 species